UGGGGGUUGUUCUUUUUUGUUUUUUUUCCUCAUCCGGUUGUUGUUUUGGGGAUUUGGAAUUUUGUGGAAAACAUUCACAACUACGGCAGUAGAAUUUAUUUGGUUUGACGCUAGCGUUGCGGUCGGGAGCUGUCGCGUGGGUUAGUUGGGCCGCAAUAGGUGUUUCGGCCCAUUAACCCUCCCAAACCCUAGCCGCCUCCCUCCUAACCCCCCCCAUGUGCAGCCGCCCCCCCACUUCUCCUCCUCCCCUUGGCCGCCGCCCCCCUGCCCAUCUCCUUCUCUCUCAAUUUUUGCAGCCACCAAACCCUAGCCGCCCCCCCCCCCCCUCAAUCCCCUCCUCCCAAGGUGUCAAUCCUUGCCGCUCGGAUCGUCGUCUCGUGGUGCGAUUCUCCAACCGUUUUGGUGGAGGGAAGAAGGGAGGAAGGAAAGGGGGAGAACCCAAGGUGGUGGACUUCCGGAUCGUUCUUAGGGAUUUUGCCCAAACUUCGGUGAAGGCAAGUAAAACUGUGAUGGUUAUUCCGUCUGUCAGAUGAGGAGUCUUAUACUUGUUUAUGUUGUGCUAUCAUGUUCAAUUUAAUAUUUUCUUUUGAGUACCAUCAUUUGAAAAUGUUCAUGUUUCAUGGAUUUCAUAUGUUGAGUUCGAGGUUUGAUUAUGUUACUCAAGUGGUUAUUAUGUGGAAUGGUUGGAAGUAAAUGCCUAGCACAUUUUUAUUUGGGAAGAACUUAUGAUGUUGUCAUGCAUAAUGCACUCCUCAUCCAUUGCAUUGAAGUUUUGUCGCGAUCUUAUGGUCCGACCGUACCGGUACAUUGAGCAUCAUAUGUUGCCCAAGAAGGGGUAUGGUGCAGCUUCAUAUCCUUAGAGAUAUGGAGGCAGAAGUCAUUAUUGCAUUUGUAGCCAUGUGCAUUCAUGGGAGAGGUGUUGAAUCUAUUAUGUGGAUGUGGAUAAUUUGGACUUGUGCAUGGUGAUUCCACUUGGCGUUGAGUUUUUAGUUUCUUGUAUACUUGCUGCAAUUUACUGUUCAAAAGAAAAGAAAGAAGUUCUGAACACGUGGUUGUGUAAGCACAGUUGAUUUACAAUGGCCUACUUGUUGUUGUUAUGUUUACUUGCUGAGAUGUGUUAUCUCACAUCUUGCAUUGUUUGAUGCAGGCACCUAAUUUCUGCUUUGGGGAAUAAAGGGGAUGUAGCAGCACGGCCACUACACUUUUAAUAAAGGAACCACCAUUUAAUAAUGUUGAUAAUCAGAGUUGGACAAGUCUAGUGAAUUGCUUUGUUCUUGGUUGAGCGUUUAUUUUGGGGUGGGCUGAGUUUCUUAUCCCAUUUGUUUUACUUCAGUUGGGUCAUAAUUAGGUUUUACCACUUUUGCAUUACAGUUUCUACUAUGUGAAUUAUAUGUCUUUAUAUCUUGUAUGAGCUUCAUGUUUCCCCUCCUUGUUAUGCUAGUUUUCAAAGGAGGUGCUGCCGGAUUUUUUUUUCUUGCUUUAUAUUCUUUCUUUAUUA